UGGGGAAUCUUGGACAAUGGGCGAAAGCCUGAUCCAGCAACGCCGCGUGAGUGAUGAAGGCCUUCGGGUCGUAAAGCUCUGUCGGUUGGAACGAAUAAAAGCCACCUAAUACGUGGCUUUAUGACGGUACCAGCAAAGGAAGCACCGGCUAACUCUGUGCCAGCAGCCGCGGUAAGACAGAGGGUGCAAGCGUUGUUCGGAAUUACUGGGCAUAAAGGGUGCGUAGGCGGUUUGUUAAGUCACUGGUGAAAGUUUGCGGCCCAACCGUAAAAUUGCCUGUGAUACUGGCGAACUUGAGUGCGUGAGGGGUAGGGGGAACGAGCAGUGUAGCGGUGAAAUGCGUAGAUAUUGCUCGGAAGGCCGGAGCCGAAGGGGCCCUACUGGUACGUAACUGACGCUGAGGCACGAAAGCGUGGGGAGCAAACAGGAUUAGAUACCCUUGUAGUCCCUGAGCGGGCUGGCAAGGCGCAU
rnacentral:rRNA from 1 species